rnacentral:rRNA from 1 species
ACGCUCGACACCUACGGGUGGCAGCAGUAGGGAAUCUUCCACAAUGGGCGCAAGCCUGAUGGAGCAACACCGCGUGAGUGAAGAAGGGUUUCGGCUCGUAAAGCUCUGUUGUUGGAGAAGAACGUGCGUGAGAGUAACUGUUCACGCAGUGACGGUAUCCAACCAGAAAGUCACGGCUAACUACGUGCCAACAGCCGCGGUAAUCUGAGCGGGCUGGCAAGGC